GAUGAACGCUGGCGGCGUGCCUAAUACAUGCAAGUCGAGCGAACGGACGAGAAGCUUGCUUCUCUGAUGUUAGCGGCGGACGGGUGAGUAACACGUGGAUAACCUACCUAUAAGACUGGGAUAACUUCGGGAAACCGGAGCUAAUACCGGAUAAUAUAUUGAACCGCAUGGUUCAAUAGUGAAAGACGGUCUUGCUAUCACUUAUAGAUGGAUCCGCGCUGCAUUAGCUAGUUGGUAAGGUAACGGCUUACCAAGGCAACGAUGCAUAGCCGACCUGAGAGGGUGAUCGGCCACACUGGAACUGAGACACGGUCCAGACUCCUACGGGAGGCAGCAGUAGGGAAUCUUCCGCAAUGGGCGAAAGCCUGACGGAGCAACGCCGCGUGAGUGAUGAAGGUCUUCGGAUCGUAAAACUCUGUUAUUAGGGAAGAACAAAUGUGUAAGUAACUGUGCACAUCUUGACGGUACCUAAUCAGAAAGCCACGGCUAACUACGUG
rnacentral:rRNA from 1 species